UACGGAGGAUGCGGGCGUUAUCCGGAUUUAUUGGGUUUAAAGGGUGCGCAGGCGGCACGGCAAGCCGGCGGCCAAAUCGCGGGGCUCAACCCCGCCCAGCCGUCGGAACUGCCGGGCUAGAGUGGGCGAGAAGUGCGCGGAAUGCGUGGUGUAGCGGUGAAAUGCAUAGAUAUCACGCAGAACUCCGAUUGCGAAGGCAGCGCACCGGCGCCCUACUGACGCUCAGGCACGAAAGCGUGGGUAUCGAACAGG
rnacentral:rRNA from 1 species